UACGAAGGUGGCAAGCGUUGUUCGGAUUUAUUGGGCGUACAGGGAGCGUAGGCGGUUGGCUAAGUCCUCCGUGAAAUCUCCAGGCUUAACCUGGAAAGUGCAGAGGGGACUGUUCAGCUAGAGGAUGGGAGAGGAGCGCGGAAUUCCCGGUGUAGCGGUGAAAUGCGUAGAGAUCGGGAGGAAGGCCGGUGGCGAAGGCGGCGCUCUGGAACAUUUCUGACGCUGAGGCUCGAAAGCGUGGGGAGCAAACAGG
rnacentral:rRNA from 1 species